CCCGUGGUUCAAUGGCAGAGUAUCUGAUUUGCAUGCAGAAGGUCCCAGGUUCCAUUCCUGGCAGGUAGG